AAACUCAGUUUGCAGUCUCUAAGAUUUGUGCCAUGGUCAUGCCCAUUAAAUCCUCCUUUUUUUGUAACUUUCUGUUAAUAUCAGGGGCUGCUCUGCUCGUAAAAAUUCCCUUAAUGAUUGACUCAGUUGCCUAAUCAUCGGGGUCUGCAUUUCUGUUCUGAACGGAAGAGCACAAGUC